CCUACGGGAGGCAGCAGUGGGGAAUAUUGGGCAAUGGGGGCAACCCUGACCCAGCAACGCCGCGUGAGUGAAGAAGGCUUUCGGGUUGUAAACCUCUUUCCUCAGGGACGAAGCUGGUGAUGGCGUCUAAAGAAGAACCCGCGACCUACGUGCCAGCAGCCGCGGUAAUACGAAGGGGGCGAGCGUUGUUCGGCUUUACUGGGUGUAAAGGAAGUGUAGGCGGCAAUGAAAGAUAGCUGUGAAAGGCAUGGGCUCAACCCCUGGCCUGCCUUUGAUACUUUUUUUCUUGAGUACUGGAGAGGAAAACGGAAUUCCUAGUGUAGCGGUGAAAUGCGUAGAUAUUAGGAGGAACACCAGUGGCGAAGGCGGUUUGCUGGACAGUAACUGACGCUGAGGCGCGAAAGCGUGGGGAGCAAACAGGAUUAGAUACCCUAGUAGUC
rnacentral:rRNA from 1 species